AACGCACAUUGCGCCCGCCAGUAUUCUGGCGGGCAUGCCUGUCCGAGCGUCAUUUCAACCCUCGAACCCCUCCGGGGGGUCGGCGUUGGGGAUCGGCCCUCCCUCGCGGUGGGCCGUCUCCGAAAUACAGUGGCGGCCUCGCCGCAGCCUCCCCUGCGCAGUAGUUUGCACACUCGCACCGGGAGCGCGGCGCGUCCACAGCCGUGAAACACCCAACUUCUGGAAUGUUGACCUCGGAUCAGGUAGGAAUACCCGCUGAACUUAA
rnacentral:misc_RNA from 1 species